rnacentral:lncRNA from 1 species
AUGUAAAAAAUUUGAGGUUGAUCGAGCAUUUAGAUUGAGGCAUAUGAGAGUUUUUUUGGAUUAUGGUCUUUGAAAUUUGAGAUUUAGGAUCAAUAAGUGAUUCCAAGAUCUAGCAAUAUUUAUUAGUUGGAUUGAAGCAAAAUUUAAUGACAGAAAUUAAGACUUGAAUAUCUCCAUGUGAUCUAAUUUUUGGAGCGAUUGAAUAGUUUACCAAGGAAAAAUUGAUAUUAAAAGAUCAACAUUUAAAUCAGAAAAGGAAGGCGUCUAACAAGUGAGCAGUUUUGGGAACUUUUCUUACAAUAGGUAAGGUUGAUUCUUUUCAUAUUUUUUGUGCUUGUUAAUUUCUUGUUAGUUUAAGUUUAGGUAAAAUUUUAGUCAAGAUCUAUGAUUCAAUUAAUAUUUAUUGAGGUUUCAAAUAGCUUUAGUAAUUGAUUAAAUUUUAUUUGGAAUUUGUUUGGGAUUGUUUAGGAUUUAGGAUUUGAUAAGAUUUGGCUAAGAUUUAGGAUUUUAUUAGGAUUUGGUCUAAGAUUAGGAUUUAGGAUUUGAUUGAGAUUGACCUAGGAUUAGUGUUUAGGUUUUAAUUAGGAUUUGUUUAAGAUUUUAUUAAGAUUUGUUUAUGAUUUGAUUAGUGUUUGUUGAAGGUUAUAUUAGAAUUUGAUUGGGAUUCAA